UACGUAGGGGGCAAGCGUUGUCCGGAAUCAUUGGGCGUAAAGAGCGUGUAGGCGGCCUGAUAAGUCGGCUGUGAAAGUCAAGGGCUCAACCCUUGAAUGCCGGCCGAUACUGUCAGGCUAGAGUCCGGAAGAGGCGAGUGGAAUUCCUGGUGUAGCGGUGAAAUGCGCUGAUAUCAGGAGGAACACCUAUGGCGAAGGCAGCUCGCUGGGACGGUACUGACGCUGGGGCGCGAAAGCGUGGGGAGCGAACAGG
rnacentral:rRNA from 1 species